UCUUCAGAUAUUUUGAGGGGUCCUGGUGUGGUCCCUAACACCAGAGAGCUGGAAAACCGACCAUCUCCAAACGUACUGCUGAUCCCUCCAUUCACACACUGACGAGGAUAUCUGGUCAGUGUGGGCAAGUUGGACUGAACACGCACACUUGUUGUGUGACUCUUUAACUCUUUGACUCCAUCCCCUCAAACCUAUGACCUGAUAUUCUGCAAACAACACAUGACCUCUCCCCAGCACCAACACCAGCUCACCGCCUCCAGACGUCUGUCAGACUCGCAGUGCAUCACCCUGGACAGACAACUGGGACACAACACAGAACUCCACAACUGGAUCCCUAACAAGGUCCCCUCACCAGCCCAUUGUGGCACCCAAACCCCAUUCCAUUGGUACUCAACAUCCCCAACACUCACCAGUGAGUUCCCAAACUGCCCCUUGCCCAACCACUGAGGAAGUGCCUUCUGGGUACCUAACUACACCCCUCCAACCAUUCACUCACUCCUUCACCUCACCCCAGGCCGAUCUACCCCACCAGCACUAGUAAGGACAGGACACAGAGAUAUUGGGGAGAAUGGGAACUGAACUGUCUGGGGAGGUAACCCCCAGGACAGGUACAACACGAUGUUUAUACCCCUAUCAAUGGGAUCCUUGGUGACUUCACUGGAGAGUGAAAUCGGGAGCAUUUCAGCCAAUCCCAACAAUUCCCAACAGCUCGGAGCAGUUAUAAUUGUUCCCAAUCAACACAGGGUUAGAAAUAAAUCCAGGAACAGAGAGAAUCCUGAUAUAUUUCCAAUGUGUUUCAGAAAAUCUGAAAAGCAAUUGGCCACACUCCCAACUUGGAAGUCUAAUUGCAUCAAUGGUCAUUCUAUUGGCUGUUAUUGUCGGGAUAGUCGGAAUAAUCAUCUGGAAAAGGUCACAGAGAGGUUCACCAAAUGUGACUUACACAACAGCUCCCAGUAAGUGGCUGAGGGGACAGAGUGUUGGGAAUGAUGGAUAAGCUUCUGAUAUCUCUGGUGCAGCUUCUUCAUGAUUCAAUUGAGCAGUGGAUCCCAGAUCCCCAGGUUUGGGUCCUGAUUCUUCAAGUGAGACCUUCUCAAGUCGUGUUUCCAUCCCGUCUCAGAAAUGUGAGCAGUGUCACCGUCAGAGGGAUCUUCACGGAUGGUUCCUCACUCACACUUUCUCAUCCUCACUGUCUUCAGUGGGUCACUGAUUGACCUGAAAUGAAGCAACAUCCCGAGGCAACUCAGAGGCAAUUUUUAUGUUGAAGGAAUUGAUUUUGCAUCUGACGUUAACAAAUUUCAAAUGUUAUGUAAAUCUCUGUACAUAAAUAUCAGUUUUACAUAUUC